ACUCCUACGGGAGGCAGCAGUGGGGAAUAUUGCACAAUGGGCGCAAGCCUGAUCAGCAACGCCGCGUGAGGGACGACGGCCUUCGGGUUGUAAACCUCUUUUAGUAGGGAAGAAGCGAAAGUGACGGUACCUGCAGAAAAAGCACCGGCUAACUACGUGCCAGCAGCCGCGGUAAUACGUAGGGUGCAAGCGUUAUCCGGAAUUAUUGGGCGUAAAGAGCUCGUAGGCGGUUUGUCGCGUCUGCUGUGAAAACUGGAGGCUCAACCUCCAGCCUGCAGUGGGUACGGGCAGACUAGAGUGCGGUAGGGGAGAUUGGAAUUCCUGGUGUAGCGGUGGAAUGCGCAGAUAUCAGGAGGAACACCAAUGGCGAAGGCAGAUCUCUGGGCCGUAACUGACGCUGAGGAGCGAAAGCAUGGGGAGCGAACAGGAUUAGAUACCCUGGUAGUCCAUGCCGUAAACGUUGGGAACUAGAUGUAGGGACCAUUCCACGGUUUCUGUGUCGCAGCUAACGCAUUAAGUUCCCCGCCUGGGGAGUACGGCCGCAAGGCUAAAACUCAAAGGAAUUGACGGGGGCCCGCACAAGCGGCGGAGCAUGCGGAUUAAUUCGAUGCAACGCGAAGAACCUUACCAAGGCUUGACAUAUACCGGAAAUGGCUGGAAACAGUCCCCCCGCAAGGUCGGUAUACAGGUGGUGCAUGGUUGUCGUCAGCUCGUGUCGUGAGAUGUUGGGUUAAGUCCCGCAACGAGCGCAACCCUCGUUCUAUGUUGCCAGCACGUAAUGGUGGGAACUCAUAGGAGACUGCCGGGGUCAACUCGGA
rnacentral:rRNA from 1 species